rnacentral:rRNA from 1 species
UACAGAGGUGCCGAGCGUUAUGCGGAAUCACUGGGCUUAAAGCGCGUGUAGGCGGGUCGUUAAGUGUCCGCGUGAAAUCCCGAGGCUCAACCUCGGGCCUGCAGUGGGUACGGGCAGACUGGAGUGCGGUAGGGGAGAAUGGAAUUCCUGGUGUAGCGGUGGAAUGCGCAGAUAUCAGGAGGAACACCGAUGGCGAAGGCAGUUCUCUGGGCCGUAACUGACGCUGAGGAGCGAAAGCGUGGGGAGCGAACAGG